rnacentral:lncRNA from 1 species
UCUCCUAGAGUCGGGAUGGUGAUGCUCUCAGGUUCAAGUCUGAAUAAAGCUCUACAAAAAUAUCUCUAUCAUCUCCAUACCCUAUACAGUAGGCUUCAUCAUUGCCUUCGAGGACUUCUUUUUUAAGAUCUUUAGACUCUUUGCAGUCCUCGAUGGCCUGACCAAGAGCCUCCUUCAUGGUCUUCGCCACUUCCUUCAUGGUCGCCGACUUGGCAUCGGCCAGUACCAACCUUGCUUCGAUCGCCCGAUGCCUUUUCCACUCAUUCUCCAGUUCGCAAAAAUAGUGAUCAUGUUCCCCCCAA